AAACCUGUUACCACUGUGAGUAAUCUUACUCGAACCAAUUACCAAAUGAUAGGAUUUGUUAGCUAAAUGCGUGCAAAUAUGUUUUAUCGGCGUUACUAGUUGAAAAUUAGCCGGAAAAACUAAGCAUAUUUAUUGUCGUGCGAAAGGCUGGAGGACACACUGCGAAUAAAUCGAGCGUACGACCCCAAGUUAGGUUAUCCCUUUCUAUUGGGAUCCAUGGUGGAGUAGUCGUUUAAGGCAACUCCAUUCGCGCGACGACAGUCCGAGGGAGUUGCCAGCCACUAGCAGACGCAGUGGAUCAUCAGCCAGCGGUCACAAGGCGUAAGGAACGUCAAGUAUCGCAGUCCGGAGCCAGCGGUAACUAGGCGUCGGGGACGCCAUUUAGAGCGCGCACAAGCGCCGCCAUAUUGAAGCCGGAGAAGAUGCAGCAUUCUGCCGUUACAGCUGCGAUCUUCGCGACGGAGAUGAACCAGUCCCUCACGUUGGAUUCCAUGUAGGGAGGAUCGCAGCAUUGGAAAAGAAGCAAGUCACGACUACGCCGCGACUACGCCGUAUGGAACCCAGGGAGCACAAAAGCUUCCGGACUUGCAUGUAUUUGGAGGGCAGGCCGAGAAAUGGCCCAUCUUCACCUGCGCGUUCGUGGAGACGACCCGAGCGUACAAUUGCACGGAUCUGGAGAACAACCAGAGGUUGAUGAAGCCGCUGAAGGACGCGAGACGGUGAAGGCGCUACUAAUUCAUCCAGGAAAUGACGAAAAGGGCCUCAGCAUUAUAAGUCUUUGCCUGCUGUGCACUUCCACUUUAGAGGGGGAGCAGUCGGAGUCUGCGGUGAAAUCAAGGAGAUGUUCCACAAAGUACUGAUCCGUCCCGAGGACGGAGAGAUGGCGACAACAAGAGAGAUCCAGAUGACUACUUGAUGGACGUAAUGACCUUUAAAGCAGCAUGCUCGUCGAGCGCUGCACAUUACGUCAAGACUGUGAAUGCCCUGAAGUUUCGGGAUUCGGAUCCGAGAGCAGUCAAGACCAUCACCGACUACUACUAUGUCGAUGAUUAUGUGGAUAGUUUCGUGGCCAGCUGUUUGUCGGCAACCGAGUGGCGGAGAUUCUGGAUUCGUCAAAGGCUUCCCAAUGGAGAAGGGUGCCUACAGCCGACAAUACGGCGGAUGAUGCGACGCGGUCUCAGAGAGGAGUCGACCUAAGCCAGGAUUCAAGGUGGCCUUACUGCAGCAGAAUGUGAGGUCGCAGAGAACCUGUUGGUCAGACAGGCACAACUGAAGUCGUUACCCGACGAGAUAAGGUCGGCAGAGGCCAAAAAGGACGUCGAUAGCUCGACGACAUUCGAGGGUUGGUGCCUUACUUUGACGAGCACAGGAUUCUGCGAGCCUAUGGCAGAAUCGACGCCGCAAUGUGCAUGCGUAUAGUGCGAGAAGGGCCAUCAUACUCUCACGCAGGCACUGUCUAACGGAGUUGAUUGUGCGACACUUCCACGCCAGGAUGAUGCAUUAAAACGUCGAUGCUACAAUUGCGGAGAUCCGGACGAGAUUUUGGGUCAUGAAAAUGAGGCGUGUGAUGAGGAGAGUCAUCGCAUCGUGCAACGAGUGCAAGUUGCAACGAGCAUGGCCGAUGCCGCCAAUAAUGGGACCCCAUCCAGAGGACAGAUUGGAUGCGGGUGGAUGGCCAUUUAAGUACACUGGAUAGGUCUACUUUGGGCCUGUGUCCCGUCACAAGGAGAAGCGUUGGGUCGCCUUGUUUACGUGCUUGACAACAAGGGAGAUAUUUUUGGAGUUGGCGCAUGACCUGUCGACGGAUUCCUGCAUAAUUGCGAUCAGAGGGCAAGUACAUAGACAGCGCAGCGAUAACGGCAAGAACUUCGUGGGAGCUGACAGGGAAGCCAGACGCUUUGGUAAACCCGUCUGACCGCCGUCCGGCGGAGUAUAGGAGCGCAUGGUACAGUGCGUUAAACGAGUACUGCGUCAUACCCUGAAGGAAGUUGCGCCGAGGGACCACGUAUUGGAGAGUUUCCUGGUUGAGGCGGAGAAUAUUGUCAACUCGCGUCCGCUUACCCACUUGCCUGUGGAUGCGAACCAGAAGGCGCCGUUGACGCCUAAUGACCUACUCAAGGUAGUGGCCAAUCUGCCGGAUACGCCUGAAUUGGAUCCGGAGCUCCUCAAGGGGUGUUUUACGAGAGGAUUGCUCGCCUCCUUUGAGACCGUUUCUGGAGGAGGUGGGUCCUGGAGUAUGUAUUUACGCUUGUGCGCCGCGAGAAGUGGUGCCCAAGAACGGAGCCCAUCCACCAGGGUGAUCUGGUCUUCGUCUGCGAUCCUGCCUUGCCCCGACGAGAGUGGUGCAAGGCAUCUAAAACGCUCAAGCGGUUUUUCAACGUUUUAGUAACAACAAUUUCGUAAAUAUGAUUCUCAAUUUCCGAAAAAGGCAUCAGAGCAGAUGAUAAGGGCAUUGAGGCUGUACAAAAUUUUCCGAAUUCUUCUAAAGUUCAAGCAGUGCUAAGUUUUUUGGGUCUUGCCUGAUGUUUUCGAAGGUUUAUAAAGGAUUAUUCAGCAAUAGCAAAACCAUUGUAUGACCUUUUGAGAAAGACAAAUCAUUUCAAUUUGGAGAACAAAAAAUAAAUGGUUUUAGUAAGCUUACAAAAAAAUUUAUCGAGGCACCGGUACUAGCAAUUUAUACAGUAGAGUCCGGUUAUAGCGACCUUCAAGGGACCGACGAUUUUACGUCAUUAUACCCGGAAGACGCACUAAAAGAAAGGUGGAAAUCAAAAAUUUUGUUUUUGUUUAUUCUAUGGUUGCCAUGUUAGUAAUAUGUUUUGACAUAAAACAAAUUAAUUGUUUAAUCAAACAAAAAAUGUAAUAAAUUUAAUUAAUUAACAUGGUUUUUCGUAAGAAAAAUGCAGAAAAAACUAGAAAUAUAACGGGACAUCUCAUGGAAUAUAGGCAUGAAGUCUGCACACGCACGCUGUAAACAUUUUUGUGACAUCGGUCACAGAUAUUUACAUUCAUUACUAACAGAGUCGUUUGAUGAUUAAAUUUGUUUGGAACGUCGCAAUAUCCGGUUGAAUUAUGAAAAAUCGGUUUGUCGCUAAAAACGGAGACGUACUAACCGGAGGUCCUUUCAUACAACUUUGUAUGGGAACCAACCAAGCGAUCGAGUUUCCGUCGCAAUAACCGGACUGACGCUAUAAGCGGAGUCGUUAUAACCGGAUUCUACCGUAAUUACAAAGGUGACAUAAAAUUAUAUUGCGAAGCGAGCGCUUUAGGAUUUAGUGCAAUACUUUAACAAAUGAAAAACGAUAGCAAAUUACAUUCCCCAUUAUAUUUUUCUAUGCGUACAUAUCCGUUACUCGUAGAGUAAAAGGGUAUACUAGAUUCAUUGAAAAGUAUGUAACAGGCGGAAGGAAGCGUUUCUGACCAUAACGAGUAUAUAUAUUCUUGAUCAGGAUCAAUAGCCGAGUCAAUCUGGCCAUGUCCGUCUGUCCGUAUGAACGUCGAGAUCUCAUGAGCUACAAAAGCUAAAAAGUUGAGAUUAAGCAUACAGACUCCAGAGACCUAGACGCAAGCUUGCGCAAGUUUGUCGUCCACUCUGACGCCCACACACAGCCCAAAGCUGCCGCCUCCACACUUUUAAAAAUUGUUUUUAUUUUUUUCAUUUUUUUUAUUAGUUUUGUAAAUUUAUCUCGAUUUGCAUACAUUUUUUUGUCACGUCCACAAAUUACCCAAAGCUGCCACGCCAAAACUUUUGUAAAAUGUAUUGAUAUUUUUCACAUUUUUGUUAGUAACGUAAAUUUCUAUCGAAAGCAUAUGUGUUAGUAUAUAGCCUAAUAGAGGUUAGGGUUCCAGAAGUAGCGUUUUCACGCAUACGCUUUUGUUUAGAGGUCUUAACAUUAUGGCAAUUAGAGCAUUGGUAGUAAUACAGCUCAAAUUGAGUUUCUUCGGAUCACGAAGUUUUCGGUCUAUGUCAUCUAAUUUUUUCUGAUGUUGCUCUCUUUCUCCCUCGUUGGCUGCUAAACGUAUUAGGUAUUUUUCUAACCUACGUUCUUGCAGCAUGCAGAUCCUCCGGCCGCCUCGUUAUUUCUGUACUCAGCUAUCGUGAGUGGGCGUGGUCCCUCGUUGGGAUUAACCUUUAAAGCCUCUUGUAGGCUUGGUGGAUCCCUUUGUACGACAGGUGUAGUAUCCUCCAGUUUGCUGCUUUUCUUGUUUAUAAAUUCCAGCGUUGGUGUUGUAAGCGGACUGCCUAUUCAGUGUCUUUCAAUUGAUUUUCCCUCAUGACCGUAGACGUCGGUUUGCCUCCUUCACUUUUCCAGCAUCCGUGUUGUUGUCUUGAUUUCGAUUUGUUGCACUUUUAGUGUGAUCUAUCGCUUUGGAUGUGGUUUAAUUUAUAAUUUUUCUUCUCGUCUUUGAAAAUGAUAUAUUGUAGCGAAGCAGCUCAACUAAUCGUUGGUUAUUUCUCGUAGCGCCUCUUCUAGGUCGCUCUGGAAUUUGAAUGAUAUUCUUUCAGCUUCUAGGUCUUCCAUAUCAUGAAUUGAUUAGUUUAUUUGACUGUUAGUAAUUUUUCCGUUACUAAUGCUGGGUGUUGGUUUUAUUACUGCUGCUCUGCUGCCGUAUGUUAUAUUGUCUUUAUAUUUGAUUGAUGGAAACCAUUUCACUCAGUAUGCACGUUUGUUUUCAUUAUUUUUAUUACUGCAUAGUAUUUGCAUAGCCGAGAGGAAAUAUCUUAGUUGUAUGUUCCUUAUAUAUAUUUUAUGCGCAGUACUUUUUACUUUAUAGUUUGUAAUA